GGUUAUGUCUCAGCGGUAGAGCGCUCACCUUGCAAGUGCAAGGCCCUGGGUUCGAUCCUCAGCACCA
rnacentral:tRNA from 1 species